rnacentral:rRNA from 1 species
CCUACGGGGGGCAGCAGUCGAGAAUCAUUCACAAUGGGGGAAACCCUGAUGGUGCGACGCCGCGUGGGGGAAUGAAGGUCUUCGGAUUGUAAACCCCUGUCAUGUGGGAGCAAAUUAAAAAGAUCGUACCACAAGAGGAAGAGACGGCUAACUCUGUGCCAGCAGCCGCGGUAAUACAGAGGUCUCAAGCGUUGUUCGGAAUCACUGGGCGUAAGGCGUGCGUAGGCUGUUUCGUAAGUCGUGUGUGAAAGGCGCGGGCUCAACCCGCGGACGGCACAUGAUACUGCGAGACUAGAGUAAUGGAGGGGGAACCGGAAUUCUCGGUGUAGCAGUGAAAUGCGUAGAUAUCGAGAGGAACACUCGUGGCGAAGGCGGGUUCCUGGACAUUAACUGACGCUGAGGCACGAAGGCCAGGGGAGCGAAAGGGAUUAGAUACCCUUGUAGUC